GAUGAACGCUAGCUACAGGCUUAACACAUGCAAGUCGAGGGGCAGCGCAGUGUAGCAAUACAUUGGCGGCGACCGGCGCACGGGUGCGUAACGCGUAUCCAACCUUCCCGUUACUCAGGGAUAGCCUUCCGAAAGGGAGAUUAAUACCUGAUGGUGUUGAAAUUCCGCAUGUUAUUUCAACUAAAGAUUUAUCGGUAACGGAUGGGGAUGCGUGACAUUAGGUAGAUGGCGGGGUAACGGCCCACCAUGCCUACGAUGUCUAGGGGUUCUGAGAGGAAGGUCCCCCACACUGGAACUGAGACGCGGUCCAGACUCCUACGGGAGGCAGCAUUGAGGAAUAUUGGUCAAUGGUCGGAAGACUGAACCAGCCAAGUAGCGUGAAGGAUGAAGGUUCUAUGGAUUGUAAACUUCUUUUAUACGGGAAUAAAACCUCCCACGUGUGGGAGCUUGUAUGUACCGUAUGAAUAAGCAUCGGCUAACUCCGUGCCAGCAGCCGCCGUAAGAC
rnacentral:rRNA from 1 species